rnacentral:rRNA from 1 species
UGUUGAAGCUGGGGCGGGAGCUGGGGUAAGACGGAGGGUGGAAACGUGUUUCGGAAGUACUGGGCGUAAAGCGCGGGUAGGCUGGCUGGAAAGUCGGAGUGGAAAGCCCUGGGCGCAACCGAGGAAGUGCAUUCGAAACGUAGAGACUCGAGUCCUGGAGAGGAUCGCGGAAUGCGCGGUGUAGAGGUGAAAGUCGUAGAUAGCGAGAGGAACACCGGUGGCGAAGGCGGCGAUCUGGACAGUGACUGACGCUGAGACGCGAAAGCGUGGGGAGCAAACAGGAUUAGAUACCCGGGUAGUC